GACAGAGGGGGCAAGCGUUGCUCGGAAUCACUGGGCGUAAAGGGCGCGUAGGCGGGAUGGCAAGUCAGUCGUGAAAUCUCUCGGCUCAACCGAGAAACGUCGGCUGAUACUGCCGUUCUUGAGGGAUGCAGAGGAGACUGGAAUUCCCGGUGUAGCGGUGAAAAUGUGUAGAGAUCGGGAGGAACAUCGAUGGCGAAAGCAACCGUCUGGGCCUGAACUGACACUGUGACACGAAAAGCGUGGGGAGCAAACAGG
rnacentral:rRNA from 1 species